GGCCGCUCUCCCAUGGGGCUGUAAGGGGCCCCUUUUCUCCUCAGCCGGGGCUGGAGGCCAGCAUCAGUCCUUCAGGAUCUCUGUUGGGGCUGCCGGGAGCUGGCAGCCAUGUUUCCCUGCCUCGGACGUCU
ensembl:scaRNA